rnacentral:rRNA from 1 species
GAUGAACGCUAGCGGCAGGCCUAAUACAUGCAAGUCGAACGAGAUUAAGAGGCUUGCUUCUUAUGAAAGUGGCGCACGGGUGCGUAACGCGUAUGCAACCUACCUUAAUCAGGGGGAUAGCCCGAAGAAAUUCGGAUUAAGACCGCAUAAAAACACAGGAUAGCAUUAUCCAAUGUUCAAAUAUUUAUAGGAUUAAGAUGGACAUGCGUGUCAUUAGCUAGUUGGCGGGGUAACGGCCCACCAAGGCGACGAUGACUAGGGGAUCUGAGAGGAUGACCCCCCACACUGGUACUGAGACACGGACCAGACUCCUACGGGAGGCAGCAGUAAGGAAUAUUGGUCAAUGGAGGGAACUCUGAACCAGCCAUGCCGCGUGCAGGAAGACAGCCCUCUGGGUCGUAAACUGCUUUUAUUCGGGAAUAAACCUUUCUACGUGUAGGAAGCUGAAUGUACCGAAGGAAUAAGAAUCGGCUAACUCCGUG